rnacentral:tRNA from 1 species
GGAGGGGUGGGUGAGUGGCUUAAACCAGCAGUUUGCUAAACUGCCGUACUGGAAACGGUACCGGGGGUUCGAAUCCCCCCUCCUCCGCAA